AGAGCUCAGUGGUGGAGUGUGUGCUUAGCAUGCACAAGGUCCUGGGUUUAAUCCCCAGU
rnacentral:tRNA from 1 species